rnacentral:rRNA from 1 species
AUGUUUUGCAACGAAGGUAUUGCAAACCCUACACUAAGACACUUUGGAGCUCUAUUGUUGUCUCAUUUAUUUCUUGUUAGUGAAUUGAACGUGAUUUUUCAACAAAUCCCCGUAGGAUCCGAUAAUGACAUAUUGGAUGAUGAUGACGAAGCGAGCAAGUCUACCGAUAAACUUAGCGAGAUUGAUCCAUUUGACACUGUCUACUCAAACAUUCCAGACAGCACUCACGUCUUGAAACUCGACGAAAAUUUCAAACACUAUAAGGCCAGGAAGUUUGAGUCUGAGACUGACGGAUUCUGCUGUCGCAAUGGCCAGAUCCAGCUUAAGCAACCAGAACCAAUCCCAGAGCUUAUGAGGCUAUGGUCCAGCAUGGAUGCAGAUUCGAGACAUUUUCGGGAGAACAUACGGUUAUUCAACGGGCAUUUUGCCUUCACAACCCUUGGCGUCAGCCUUGAUGAAAACUACACAAACAUGAGGUCUGGGGUGUACACAUUCCGAGCUCACGGCACCAUCUACCAUAAUGUCCAUUCGUUCGGGCCUAGCUCACGUCCAGAACAUCUGCAGUUGUACUUCUAUGACGACGGCCCUAACCUAGAUCAUCGUAAGGCGGCCACCAAGCAAUUAGACCAGGAUGUCAUGAAGAGCUUAGUAGACAUACUCAAAGAAAACCCAUACUCCCAGCAAUUUAGGAGUUUGGGUGCACACAAGGACAACCUCGAUGAUUAUAGGAUAGACCUAAACACCGAUAAGAGGCUUGACCAAAGAAGAUAUAAUAGACCGGUGUCCUCUGAGGUCGCUGAAAUUUGGGUUGAGGGCACUGACCUAGCAAAAAGGUUUGACCGCAGGAUAACACUUUGUGGUAACAACAACGAAAGGCAUAGUAUACGUGUGACCUCAGGGGCAUACGACCCGUUGUCUUAUCCAUUAUUCUAUCCAAUGGGGGAGCUAGGUUGGCAUCCGAAGCUACCCAAACGUAAUGUUGAUUGGGAGGUUGUACAAAAUCCUUGUUUGUGUCAUGAUGAUGAGGAUGAUGCAGGUAUGUCAUUUUGUGUCCCACUUUGUUACAAAUAA